rnacentral:rRNA from 1 species
CACGUAGGGCGCAAGCGUUGUCCGGAAUUAUUGGGCGUAAAGAGCUCGUAGGCGGUCUGUUACGUCUGCUGUGAAAACCCGGGGCUUAACCCUGGGCUUGCAGUGGAUACGGGCAGACUAGAGGCAGGUAGGGGAGAAUGGAAUUCCCGGUGUAGUGGUGAAAUGCGUAGAUAUCGGGAGGAACACCAGUGGCGAAGGCGACUUCCUGGCCUGUUCUUGACGCUGAGGCGCGAAAGCUAGGGUAGCAAACGGG